GGUAUUCUUUCCAUGCGAACUUUUUACAAUAAUAAGUCCUAAAGGCCUAUCUACACGAUGCGACCAAUCAAUGAUAUGACAAGGAAAUUACGGGAAAUUAAAAAAUAAAAUGGUAAAAUAUAGAUAAGAUACAGAACAAGAAAAAAAGUAAAGAAAAAUUAAAUUCUACGUUUUGAAAAGAUAUAUUUCAGUUUUUAAAUGGAAGCACAGUACAGACUGAAACGUAGCAAUCCAGACGUUACAAUCAGAAUAAUUAGUUACAGCCAGUGUUACAGCUGUGCUUGCAGUAUUGCCCACGUGCACCGGAUAGUCCGGAUAUAAUCAAUCGCAUUUGCUGGUUUUUUGAAGAAGAUGCUAAAAUUAUAAUCUUGAUGUGUAAUCAGUAAAUGACCUUUGUUACGUCUCUUUACAACAUUAUUAUUUUGCCAUCUGGUUUUACUUUUUUCAAGUUUUGAGCGGAGCUGAUGAAAGUUUAUGUAAUUUUUCGUUGGAUAUAUAAAAAUUUUGAAAAAAGAUAAGCAAAGAGGGCUAAGUGAGGACGGCUGUCUACAAUAACCUUCUUGAUAAGGCAAUUGGCCAGUUUCAUCUCACUAUCGUUGACCAUUCUGCCAAGACCCGUGGAGAAUGUUGCAUCAACACUUUAUAAAGGCAAUGUCUCCUCAUUGGGUUCUUUUUGUCUCUAGAAAGCAAACAUCGACCAACCCUGGUGAUUGUACAAUGUACAAUGUCUAUUAAUUGUGUCUAUCUUUACAUGCAUUUAGUAAGAGGCUAUUACAAGGAAGACUCGUUAUACUCAAAGAGAAUAUACACCCUUCACCUACGAAGGGAUAUAAACUGAAGUGAAAAUGACAAACAAAUGUGUCAACUAUCGAGGGAUUUAGCUAAGAUGUCCAUGGCAUCAAAGAACCUUGUGACACACUACCUACUUCACAUUUGGUUCGCAUUGCAUAGCAAAAGACGUCAUUUGUACAAAACUAUUAAGGUAAGUCAAGGUAUUUGCUGUGAGGCAAGCAUUACAGCAGACAUACACUGUAUUCACGACUUUACUAUUUUGCUAAAACCCAAGUGUAAAAAAUAUUAACGGGUAUGAUAAAGAGUCUGUUAUUAGAGCUUCGCAAUAAAGCAGAGCAACCGAUUUGAAAAGUCGUAUACGAGUGCAAAAGGUAAUAUUCAUAAUCAUUGUUUUACAGUAUUAUAGCUACUGUAUGUUCUUUUUUCCUAGCAUCACAGAAGAUUUUUUGCCCACUAUAAAAAAGUUGUUUUUGUGGUUUUGUGUUUCGCAAUGCUGUUUCGGUAACAUCAUUUUUGUUUCAGCUUCCGCUGUUCCGUGUUUCCGUCUUCCGCUGUUCCUGGACCUAACACCCGUUGAGCAAUGUAACAAAAUGAGAUUGUCGAAUAUGUCAACCGUUACGAUGUUUUUCAAUACUGAAAUUGAAUUUCUGCAACUGAAAAUCUGAAAUCACCUGGUGAAUUAUGGCUUAUAUAUCAUUUUUCAACUCAUAGUGAGAAUAAAGAAUGGAUGGGGAUAUAUAAUUAAUGGUAACCAUUACGUGCAAGCCAACUAGCUGGAGGACCAUGGUCCAACGUGUCAUCUUGUAGAUCCUAAAGCUCAAUGCUAUACUUUCUGGGCCAUCGUUCUUUGAUUUCUCAAUAAAGAUUUGUCCAUAUAUUUAUGUCAGCAGUAGGACCAAGGCAAGAAGAAAAAGUACAGCUGACUGCCUGUGAGGCUGUGAACAAAACCUUAUUCUCCAACAUCUGGUAUCAAUUUUCUCAGCUAGAAGUUUGGUUGUAUUUCCGCUGGUUUCCUCGGAGUAGAGAAAUAAAUGAGACAGUCAGCGUGGGCCGAAAUUUUGGUCGGAUGAUAACUUUUGAUUUCGUUCGUUUCGCAUUAUCUUAGUUGUAUUAUAAAAUCAUUGAUAAAUAGUGACAAUAUGUAUAAUAUUGUAA